ACUUUGGUAGUCUAAUAGACAUUUGAUUUCGACCCAAAAGAACUUACUGAUCCUAAGCCAUAGUA
rnacentral:tRNA from 1 species